rnacentral:lncRNA from 11 species
CUUGUUUCAGAACUUACUUAGAGUAAGUUCCUGGAUGAGAGCCUACAACUUACUCAGACUUGCUUGUCUCCUUGCACCAUUGAAUGAAGAUCUUCAAAGAAGAUGCAUGAAUUUAAUGCAAAGAACUUUAUGUGCAGUUGGUGAGGAUGAGAGACAGGGCCUUCUCAGUAGUGGUCCCUCAGCUGUGGAACUCCCUUCCCAGUGAAAUUUGAUCAGUUCCCUCCCUCCUGAUCUUCAGAAAGAAACUGAAAACUUGGCUAUGGGACCAAGCCUUUGGAGAACAGUCAGUACAAUAGUCAGCAAUGAACUUGAACAAGUGCAAGAUACUGACACAUGAAUGGAAGAGUUUGACCUGUGGUGUAGAAAAUGGAAAAAGAGUACACCUGCAGAAACGCCAUCACCUGCUGAAAAACCAUCAAAUGCACUGGAAGUAUAUUUUGUCUGUGAUAGACAGGGUUUUUUUUUCUGAAUGUGAAGAAACUUCUUCAGAUUCCUGCAACAUUGCCAAUGUCAACAGCUAAAAAUGAAAGGUUGUUUUCCACUCUUAAACUUUUGAAAAAAUACAUGAGAAGCACAAUGGGGUAAAAAAGACUGACUGGACUUGCACUCUUGAGUGUCCACUGAAAUUUAUUGAUGGAACCUGAUUUCUGUCAAAGUGUAUUGACACAGUUUUCAAGUGUUUCUGACUAGUUUUGUGGUAUCCUUUUGUAACCACUAAAUUACCAAUUAAGAGCCAUUUUCAGGGUUUUUUAAGACUUGAAACUUUGUAGCUAAAAUAGAAAUUUCAUUUAAUUAAGUCUAUAUAAAAAUAUAGAAUGAGUCAUAGAAAUUACAUUAUUUUGUAUUAUGAACCAACUUUUCAUAGUUUGCUU